rnacentral:lncRNA from 1 species
UGAAUUUUUGUCAAAGCUUUUACAAAACUCCUUACAAAUUAUUAAAACACAUAAUGAUCAUGAUGACUAGCUUUGACUCCUUUGUUUAUUGAUUAUUGCAGGUCCAUUGUAAUUACGCUAUCUCAGUACUGAAACUUUUCUUAAUGUCCUUAUAUCUCUAUUAAAUCUUACCAAUUUGAAACCAGAUAAUUUUGUGACUAAGACAUCUAUAUUGCAACAAUGAUUCUUAUAACCAACUGUGACUCCACUUAUUCAGAUAUGUAUUUUAAUAAUUUUGUGUGGAGUUACAUGAAACAAAAGAAAUUAUGAGUACUUUCUUUUGCUGCUUAAAAAUAUAAUACAAUAUAAUAUAAAUAUAACAUAAUAAUUUUGAACUAGACUGACCAAAUAUUUUUACUCCAUUUCUCUGUAGAAGCAAUCAGACAAAAGCUCUGUCUCCCUCAGACAUCAAUCAUUAAGCAAAUUUGUCAGCUAAAAUCAGAACCAGCAUUGCAACAGUGCAGAAAGAGAAUAAAUUGAGGAAUCUUGGGUUUAUCUUUAACAUAUUAUACAUGUAAGCCUCUAGAGUAUAAUACAGUUUUAUGUUUUAAAUUCUACGCCUUUUCACAAAACAUAGUGCUACAUAUUCUAUAUAAAAAUCAUCCCUUUUCAAAUGUCAUAAAAUAUUAACUGCUGUCACAAAAACAAACAACAGAAUUUGGCCCUUAAAAAUCUUUUGGGAUUAUUUCAGUUCAGUUGUAACUUUGCUCUUUCAGUACAAAAAGUUUUCUCCAUGUUCUUAUGCUUCUAUUAAAUCCUAACAUUUCAGAACCGGAUAGUUUUGUGAUGAAGACAUCUAUCUAACAACAAUCACCAUUAUGACCAGCCGUUACUCAUAUGCAGAUUUACAAAAAAGGGCUGAAUACUGCAUUGCUGUUGACACAUCCCUGGCCUUUAUGCAGCAGAUAGUAGUGGCAGCACCGCCACCGACUGCAACAACCACAAAUAUCUCCAGAUAUUGCCCACAGUUCCCUGGAGAUAAAACCUUCUUCAGGUGAGAACUACUCAUUUGAAUAGUCAGUACUAAUAUAAACAGGAGGUGGGAGGGAUUAAUGUCCACAUUAUUUAUAUUUUUGAAUUUAUAUCUCUUCUUUUUCCCACAACAUCUAUGGAUUGCAUUGAUUGUUGAAAUUUAAAGAUGUAUGCAUUGGAGAAAAAAAGAUCUGAGCAUUGCUUCUAUAAUCCCUGCUCCUCAUUUUAAAUGAACUUUAUGCAAUAGAGAAUGAAGAAAUUUUAAGUAUAUAAUAAUGUAUAAAAUUGAAACAAGUGUUGGAAAGUACAAUAUAAUACAGGAUCUGAAGAUAAUAGAUCAGAGCGGAA